UGGGGAAUAUUGCACAAUGGGCGCAAGCCUGAUGCAGCCAUGCCGCGUGUAUGAAGAAGGCCUUCGGGUUGUAAAGUACUUUCAGCGAGGAGGAAGGCGUUGUGGUUAAUAACCGCAGCGAUUGACGUUACUCGCAGAAGAAGCACCGGCUAACUCCGUGCCAGCAGCCGCGGUAAUACGGAGGGUGCAAGCGUUAAUCGGAAUUACUGGGCGUAAAGCGCACGCAGGCGGUCUGUCAAGUCGGAUGUGAAAGCCCCGGGCUCAUCCUGGGAACUGCAUCCGAAACUGGCAGGCUAGAGUCUUGUAGAGGGGGGUAGAAUUCCAGGUGUAGCGGUGAAAUGCGUAGAGAUCUGGAGGAAUACCGGUGGCGAAGGCGGCCCCCUGGACAAAGACUGACGCUCAGGUGCGAAAGCGUGGGGAGCAAACA
rnacentral:rRNA from 1 species